rnacentral:lncRNA from 1 species
GGUGAUAGCCCACCAGACUUGAAUUCAGUCUCACGUUCGCCAUCUAGGAGCUGGGUAACCUUGACAAGUUUCUUAAACUGAAUCUCAAUUCUCUUAUGCAUAAAAGUGGAUUUUGAGGAUUCAGUGAGGAGCAGUGAGUAAACUAACCUGGAAACGCUGACCCGUGGCUUUCCUUGGUGAAAAUGUGCCUGGUUUAUCCCCUGGAGCCACUCCCACCACUAGCUGUUCUGCAUAUGAAUUUGGGACCAUGUUUUUCUUCACACUUGGCUGGGAGCCUGAUUAUCUGAACCAUAACUAGGAGACAUGGGCAUUCUGAACAUCAAGACAGAACUGCUGAUAGAAACGGCAGAGCCCUUGCUGUUGGUUUUCUAAGUGCAGCAAGUUUCUGUGAUCCCAGGGGGAGUCUGGUCUGCCUUGGGGGUCCCGCUGGGGACAGAGUGGGCUCUAACCUGGAGGCACCAACCUGAACCUGGCUGACACUUAAGCUGACAAAACUUCAGCAGAGACGCAGGAACCAUCACUUCAGAAGCGCCGGGGCCUUUGAACUGAGGCUAGGCGGCUGGCCUAGAAAGUGGAGCAGGCACGCAGGCAGUCCUAACGAGGCGGGCUGGGGGGUCAAAGCCUUAUUUGCGUUCAUUUCACUCAUUAUUAUGUGGCAUUAGGGAAAUUUUCGGCUGAGCAGAGUGCCCUUGACAUGUAACUUCCUGUGCUCUCUGG